AUUUCAAGAAUGGCCACCGCUUAUUUCUGGGCGGUUGAUUCAAGCAAUUGAUGAGAUGACCCUCUGUAGCCGUGGCUUGACUAUACAGACAAAGAGAACCAAGAAGGCUGGUAUUGUCGGGAAGUAUGGUGAAGAAGGAUUUUCUGUAACUUUGUGUUUGGGGACUGCAGAUUGUAUAGGACUGGAGCCAAAAGACAGUUUUGUAAAUUGUUGCGAAAAGAAUCUAGAUCCUAGAAUAAGAUUCUCUAUUUUCAUAUCACUUGUGUUCAAGACUUGACGCAUAUCGUGUCAGGCUGACAACAACAACAACAAGAGUGACUUGCAUCCGCUGCUUUGAGAACUAGUCAUAGCAAUUGGUCAGCUUUUCCAAACCAUAGGGAGGAUUUAAGUAGGGAAGACGUCCAGACUUCAAAUAGAGGCAGUGAGGAGACUUCGUACUGCCAAUUCAGCAAAGUUUUAAUGGAAAGAAGCAACAAGAUAACCCCAAAAAGGUCCAGAAGACAUGUUUGGGGAAACAAGUAUAGUUGUUAAGUUGGUUUGCUAAAGAAGAAGUAGUUGUUGCAAGUGCUAGUAUUAUAUCAAAAGAUCCAGAAGUUGAGGUGCAUCAUGUGCCUCUUGGCCAUGAUUGUUGGAAAGUAUCGGUGCAUGAAGUUUUUCAUGAUAUAGCCUUGUAUCGCCCAACAAGCGAGUUUAGUAAACUUUAUGCAUCCACAGGAAGUAUGAUUGCAUGGCCUAUCAAGGACAUCAAAGUGAAUUAGGCAUUUUGGAGGUAAAAAUUGGCACCAUGCAUGGUAUGAAGAUGUUUAAAAGGUCAAACCAUGGAUCACUAUAGAUUUAUCUUUUGCAAUGAACAAAGACAAUUCUAAUCUAAGAUGCUCUCUAGUAAUCUAGAAUGUUUUCUAUUUUGGCAUGCAUUGUGAUGAUAAUUUGUUGGUAUUAAGUUGUUUCAAUUC